UACGUAGGGUGCAAGCGUUAAUCGGAAUUACUGGGCGUAAAGCGUGCGCAGGCGGCUUUGCAAGACAGAUGUGAAAUCCCCGGGCUUAACCUGGGAACUGCAUUUGUGACUGCACGGCUAGAGUGCGGCAGAGGGGGAUGGAAUUCCGCGUGUAGCAGUGAAAUGCGUAGAGUAUGCGGAGGAACACCGAUGGCGAAGGCAUCCCCUGGGCCUGCACUCGACGCUCAUGCACGAAAGCGUGGGGAGCAAACAGG
rnacentral:rRNA from 1 species